GGGUGCUUGAGAUGGAAACUGGAAUGUCAGAAAAAAAAUUCUCAAAAGCAGAAGCUACUUCCUGCUCAGAGUGGAUUUUUGUAUUGUUUAUUAUUAGAUUAUAUUCAAACUUGCAGUCUUUCGCUCUUCCAGAUUAGUUAAUAACUUUCCAAGUCAUUUUUAUUUUAUUUGAAGCAUUUUUAAUUAUUUCUCUAAUAUGCAUUGACUUAGCAAUAGUACAUACUUUCUUAAAUAAUUUCGAAUAAUUUUUCACAUAUACAAGGAAAGAUGCGUCAUGAUUACAUGAUGAUCUCUCACUAUAUAGUUCAUAUAACCGUUGUCUGCUCCUAUGAAUACCAGCUGUUGCCCAGUUGUUAAAUGACAAGAGACCACCCAAGUUGACUGUCUUUGAAGUAAAUAUAGAAGCAAACUCUGUUUUAAUUAUUUUAAAUAACUUACCAUACAUCUCAUUUGGAGUACUGUUAUAAUUCAAAUACAAGUUUGAGAGUUUUUCUGAAACAUUGCCUCUAUAUUUCUCCAUUCGCCUAUUGUUUACCGGAACAAACAUAAACUUUUUAGUUGAAGUACAUUUGUUCCCUUCAAUAUUAAAAGAGGCUAAUUGACCAAAGUGGUCUGAGCUCAGUUUACUAAUUAUUGAUUGAGAAAUAGGUAUAUAAUUAGUAAAAAUAUUAACAAUACAGCUUUUAGAGGUGCUGGUUACUCUAGUAGGUUCUAAGAAAAUAUUUGAUAAAUUAUAUGAUUUAAACAAAGAUUUGAAUCUAAUACUUGUGUUGGAUUUUUCUAAUAAGUUAAUAUUAAAGUCACCACAAAUCAUAAUAUAUUUCUUAGAUUCUGAUAAUUUUGAUAGAACCUCCUCCAAUACACUCAAAUAACUCAUAUAAUGCAUCGGGGGGUCUGUAUAUACUUACAACAAGGGCACACUCAAGCUCUGCACAGGCUAUUUCAAUCAUGAAUAGACAACCAAGUCAUCGGCAAAUUGGAGAUUUUUGACUUCUGAACCCAAAAUCAGAUUUAAACGUCGGAUAUACAAGAUAAAAAUUAAUGGAGAGAGUAUCCCUCCUUGGCAAACUCCAACAGAUGCAAACCUUGGACCCUAUAAUUGACUCCAUUUUAUGAAUCCAGUUUAUUAUUUUGUUUGGAAUUCCAACAUAAAGCAAUUCAGAGCAAAGUAUAUCUAUAUUCACACUAUUAAAAGCACUAGCAACAUCAAAGAAGACAGACAUCAAAAAAUUCUUAUUAAUUAGACUAUUUUGGAUAUCAAGCUGUAACUGACAGAUACUUUCACCAGCCGAUGUUCCUCUUCGAAAACCAAAUUGAUUAGCAGGUAAAAUACCAUUUUGUUCUACAUAAAAUUCCAAUCUUUGUUUUAUUAGUUGCUCAAAAAUUUUUGCCAACACAUGAUGUUAAUGCAAUAGGACGAUAAGAAUCUGGAUUUGACCGAGUUUUAUCUGGUUUUAUUUAUGGUAUAUGGGUAUAUAGACAAUUAGAUUUCCAUGAAUGGGGUAUAUCAUUGUUUAACCACAGAUUAUUUAAUAUUUCAUGAAAAAAGUGUAACCCCUUUUUGCUAAUCUUUUUCAACAUAAUGUAAGGAAUACCAUCAAGACCAAAAGCACAAAUCAAAAGCUAUUUACAGAAUUUGUAUUACUGACAGAGGAAAAAAUUGAAAUAUUAUGUACAUAGUCAUUCUUGACAGAGGAGUACACCUGUUAAAGGAAUUACACAAUUCAACCCAACUAUUCAAUCUCUCUGUUUUCAAACUAAGUUUUUUAAGAGCUUGUAAUCUUUUAAACUCUAUAAAUAUUUCAUCUAAUGGAUUAUUCUUAAAAUUAAGGAAGAUGAUAGCUGCCAAGUGAAUCGUUACCACAGACCAAUCACACAAUAGAGCCAAUGAUGGAGAAACCAAAGUUAAAUCAAGAGCAUUUGGAUGCCAUGACAAAGAACCACCUGUAAUCACUUCACCGCUAUUAAGUAAAACCAGAUUAUUAUCAUCAACAAUCUCCAAAAUAUCUCUACCUCUUGAAUUAACAGAAUUACAUCCCCAUGACGUGUGAUGAGCAUUGAAGUCACCAGCAAAUAUCAUGGGUUCAGGCACUGAUUCUAAUAAAGAUUGGAAUUUAUGUUUAUCAAAGGAUGGUGUACAAUUUGUAGGACAAUAAAAACUAACAAUACUUAA